rnacentral:rRNA from 1 species
CUACGGGGUGCUCCAGUGGGGAAUAUUGCACAAUGGGGGAAACCCUGAUGCAGCAACGCCGCGUGGAGGAUGACGCAUUUCGGUGUGUAAACUCCUUUUAUAUAGGAAGAUAAUGACGGUACUAUAUGAAUAAGCACCGGCUAACUCCGUGCCAGCAGCCGCGGUAAUACGGAGGGUGCAAGCGUUACUCGGAAUCACUGAGCGUAAAGCGCGCGCAGGCAGCCUUUUAAGUUGGAUGUGAAAGCCUAUGGCUUAACCAUAGAACUGCAUCCAAAACUAUCAGGCUAGAGUCUGGGAGGGGAAGAUGGAAUUAGUUGUGUAGGGGUAAAAUCCGUAGAGAUAACUAGGAAUACCAAAAGCGAAGGCGAUCUUCUGGAACAGUACUGGCGCUGAGGCGCGAAAGCGUGGGGAGCAAACAGGAUUAGAUACCCUCGUAGUC